rnacentral:ncRNA from 1 species
GACAAAUUUUAUUUUAGUUUUAAAAUUUUUAUUUAAAAAAUUUAUAUAUAAAUUAAAAAUUUAAAAUUUUAAAAUUUUAAUAAAUAAUAUUAUAAAAUUAAAGAAAUUUAAUAAUAAUUUUUAAUAUAUAUUAACAAAUUAUGUGCCAGCAGUUGCGGUUAAACAUAAAAUAAAAAAAUUACUUAUAAAUAUAUUAAUUAUUUAAAAAUUAAAUAUAAAAUUAUGAUUAAUAAGUAAAAUUUUAAUUAUAAAAUAUAAUUUAAUAAAAUUUAAUAUAAAAAUUAUAAUUAAAACUAGGAUUAGAUACCCUAUUAUAUUAAUUUAAAAUUUAAUAAAGUAGUAAAAGUUAUAAUCUUCAAACUUAAAAAAUUUGGCGGUAUUUUAAUCUUAUUAGAGGAAUCUGUUUUAUAAUUGAUAAUCCACGAAUUUAUAUACUUAAAUUAUAUAUUUAUAUAUCGCUGUAAAAAAUAAAUUAAAAAAUUAUAUUUUAAAAAUUUUUAUUUAAUUAAUUUCAAGUCAACAUAUAGUUUAUAUUUAAGAAAAAAUGGAUUACAUUUAUUUUUAAUAAUUAAAAUAUUUUUUUAAAAAAAAUUAAAAAAGGAUUUAAUAGUAAAUAUUUUUAAAUUUAAAAUAUUGAAUAAGAAAUAAAAUAUGUACAAAUCGCCCGUCACUCUUAAUAAAAUAAGAUAAGUCGUAACAAAGUAAAUUUACUGGAAAGUGAAUUUAGAAA